AUCACUCGGCUCGUGUGUCGAUGAAGAGCGCAGCCAACUGUGUGAAUUAAUGUGAACUGCAUACUGCUUUGAACAUCGACAUCUUGAACGCAUAUUGCGGCCACGGGUUAGCCCGUGGCCACGCCUGUCCGAGGGUCGGCUUAUAAACUAUCACGACGCCCUACAAGUCGUGGCUUGGAUUUUGCCAGCUGGCAUGAUUUCCCUAUACUUGGCUGUAUUGCUGGGUUCGGGUGCCAGAUCUAUGGCGUUUUCCUAAUGUAUCCGGGCACAUCUGCAUCUUUGUAUUGAAAGGAUGAGGACGUGGCGACGGAGUCGUGGCUCAGUUGUAUAUAACACGCUCCGAAUCGUAGUGGGUCCAAUUCCUAUGAUGUGAUGUUGUCUGUUACUGAGUGUAGCCCAUUGGGUGCAUUCUAUUCCUGACCUCGGAUCAGACGUGAGUACCCGCUGAACUUAAGCAUAUCACUAA
rnacentral:rRNA from 1 species